rnacentral:rRNA from 1 species
CCUACGGGAGGCAGCAGUGAGGAAUAUUGGUCAAUGGCCGGAAGGCUGAACCAGCCAAGCCGCGUGAAGGACGAAUGUGCCAAGCAUUGUAAACUUCUUUUGUCAAGGGACAAAAUCAGGCUCGAGAGCCUGACCGAGGGUACUUGAAGAAAAAGCAUCGGCUAACUCCGUGCCAGCAGCCGCGGUAAUACGGAGGAUGCGAGCGUUAUCCGGAUUUAUUGGGUUUAAAGGGUGCGUAGGCGGGCUGUUAAGUCAGCGGUAAAAGCCCGGGGCUCAACCCCGGAGAGCCGUUGAUACUGGCUGUCUUGAGAUGUCGAGAGGUAUGCGGAAUGCGCAGUGUAGCGGUGAAAUGCUUAGAUAUUGCGAAGAACUCCGAUUGCGAAGGCAGCAUACUGGCGGCGAUCUGACGCUGAGGCACGAAAGCGUGGGUAUCGAACAGGAUUAGAUACCCGUGUAGUC